rnacentral:rRNA from 1 species
GACGGGGGAUGCAAGUGUUAUCCGGAAUCACUGGGCGUAAAGCGUCUGCAGGUGGUUUCCUAAGUCCACUGUUAAACCUUGAGGCUCAACCUCAAAUCUGCAUUGGAAACUAGGAGACUUGAGUAUAGUAGGGGUAGAGGGAAUUUCCAGUGGAGCGGUGAAAUGCGUAGAGAUUGGAAAGAACACCGAUGGCGAAGGCACUUUACUGGGCUAUUACUAACACUCAGAGACGAAAGCUAGGGUAGCAAAUGGG